rnacentral:rRNA from 1 species
GAUGAACGCUAGCGGCAGGCCUAACACAUGCAAGUCGAGGGAGAGGUUAUCUUCGGGUAACCAAAACCGGCGCACGGGUGCGUAACGCGUAUACAAUCUGCCUUUCACAUAGGGAUAGCCCGAAGAAAUUUGGAUUAAUACCUAAUGGUAUAUAAGAGCGGCAUCGUUUUUAUAUUAAAGCUACGGUGGUGAAAGAUGAGUAUGCGUCCUAUUAGCUAGUUGGAGAGGUAACGGCUCCCCAAGGCGACGAUAGAUAGGGGUUCUGAGAGGGAUGUCCCCCACACUGGUACUGAGAUACGGACCAGACUCCUACGGGAGGCAGCAGUGAGGAAUAUUGGACAAUGGUCGGAAGACUGAUCCAGCCAUGCCGCGUGCAGGAUGAAGGUCCUAUGGAUUGUAAACUGCUUUUGUAAGGGAAGAAUAAGGGGUACGUGUACUUUGAUGACGGUACCUUACGAAUAAGCAUCGGCUAACUCCGUGCCGGCAGCCGCGGUAAUACGGAGGAUGCGAGCGUUAUCCGGAAUCAUUGGGUUUAAAGGGUCCGUAGGCGGGCUGAUAAGUCAGAGGUGAAAGCGCUUAGCUCAACUAAGCAACUGCCUUUGAAACUGUCAGUCUUGAAUGAUUGUGAAGUAGUUGGAAUGUGUAGUGUAGCGGUGAAAUGCUUAGAUAUUACACAGAACACCGAUAGCGAAGGCAUAUUACUAACAAUUUAUUGACGCUGAUGGACGAAAGCGUGGGGAGCGAACAGG